rnacentral:rRNA from 1 species
AUGGUGUCACGAAAGUUCUUCUGUUUUAAAAAAACACUCAAGGAAAUUGAAUUUGUAGUGAAGAUGCUACAUUAAAAUUGUUAGACGAGAAGUCCCCAUGGAGCUUUACUGAAAGCCUAAAAAAAAUUUUUUAUUUAUUUAUAGGCUAGACAGUUUUGUUGGGGUGAUAGUUUUUUAAAAAGUAACGAAAACGAACUAUGACGCAUGUUUCACUCUGAAAACUUGAAGAGACAUUUGGGGUGUGUUUUAUGAUCUAUUGUUUUGAAUGAAAAAGAUAAUGAAAGCAGAUAAAAG